rnacentral:rRNA from 1 species
UUGUGAAGGUGCAUAGACAACUAGGAGGUUGGCUCAGAAGCAGCCACCCUUUAAAGAGUGCGUAAUAGCUCACUAGUCGAGUGCUCUUGCGCGGAUAAUGUACCGGGGCUAAGCAUAUUACCGAAACUGUGGAUGCGUAAGCAUGGUAGGAUAGCGUAAUUAACGCGAUGAAGGAUGACCGUAAGGACAUGUUGGAGCGUUAACUAGUGAGAAUUCCGGUAUGAGUAGCGAAAGAUAGGUGAGAAUCCUAUCCACCGAAUGAGUAAGGUUUCCCCCGGAAGGCUCGUCCGCGGGGGGUUAGUCGGGACCUAAGGCGAGGCUGAAAAGCGUAGUCGAUGGACAACAGGUUGAUAUUCCUGUACCGAUAUUUAAUUGCCGAAGGAAGGACGCAGAAGGAUAACACAGGCCACUAUUGGAUGUGGUUUUAAACAGUUAGUCUUCAUAAGAGUCAAAUGCUUUUAUGUUUAAGGAUAAGCUGUGAAUGUACCAAGUUUACUUGGAAAUUGUGUGAUUUCACGCUGCUGAAAAAAGUUUCGUAGGAAGAAAAUAUUGCCCGUACCGCAAACCGACACAGGUACUCAAGUGGAGAACACUAAGGUGAGCGAGUGAACUAUUGUUAAGGAACUCUGCAAAAUGAGUCCGUAACUUCGGAAGAAGGACUGCUGGUUUUAUACC